UACGAAGGGGGCUAGCGUUGCUCGGAAUUACUGGGCGUAAAGCGCACGCAGGCGGCUCUUUAAGUCGGAGGUGAAAUCCUGGAGCUCAACUCCAGAACUGCCUUCGAUACUGAAGAGCUCGAGUCCGGGAGAGGUGAGUGGAACUGCGAGUGUAGAGGUGAAAUUCGUAGAUAUUCGCAAGAACACCAGUGGCGAAGGCGGCUCACUGGCCCGGUACUGACGCUGAGGUGCGAAAGCGUGGGGAGCAAACAGG
rnacentral:rRNA from 1 species